GGAGGCAGCAGUGAGGAAUAUUGGGUCAAUGGGCGAGAGCCUGAACCAGCCAAGUAGCGUGCAGGAUGACGGCCCUAUGGGUUUGUAAACUGCUUUUAUAAGGGAAUAAAGUGAGUCACGUGUGGCUUUUUGCAUGUACCUUAUGAAUAAGGACCGGCUAAUUCCGUGCCAGCAGCCGCGGUAAUACGGAAGGUCCGGGCGUUAUCCGGAUUUAUUGGGUUUAAAGGGAGCGUAGGCCGGAGAUUAAGCGUGUUGUGAAAUGUAGACGCUCAACGUCUGCACUGCAGCGCGAACUGGUUUCCUUGAGUACGCAUAAAGUGGGCGGAAUUCGUGGUGUAGCGGUGAAAUGCUUAGAUAUCACGAAGAACUCCGAUUGCGAAGGCAGCUCACUGGGGCGCAACUGACGCUGAAGCUCGAAAGCGCGGGUAUCGAACAGGAUUAGAUACCCUGGUAGUCCGCGCGGUAAACGAUGGAUGCCCGCUGUUGGGCCAACUGGUUCAGCGGCCAAGCGAAAGCAUUAAGCAUCCCACCUGGGGAGUACGCCGGCAACGGUGAAACUCAAAGGAAUUGACGGAGGCCCGCACAAGCGGAGGAACAUGUGGUUUAAUUCGAUGAUACGCGAGGAACCUUACCCGGGCUUGAAUUGCAGAGGAAGGAUUUGGAGACAAUGGCGCCCUUCGGGGCCUCUGUGAAGGUGCUGCAUGGUUGUCGUCAGCUCGUGCCGUGAGGUGUCGGCUUAAGUGCCAUAACGAGCGCAACCCUUGUUCGUAGUUGCCAUCGGGUAAUGCCGGGCACUCUGCGAAGACUGCCUCCGUAAGGAGUGAGGAAGGUGGGGAUGACGUCAAAUCAGCACGGCCCUUACGUCCGGGGCUACACACGUGUUACAAUGGCAUGUACAGAAAGCAGGGUGUAUGCAAAUACGCUCGAAUCCCUAAAACAUGUCUCAGUUCGGACUGGGGUCUGCAACCCGACCCCACGAAGCUGGAUUCGCUAGUAAUCGCGCAUCAGCCAUGGCGCGGUGAAUA
rnacentral:rRNA from 1 species